rnacentral:sRNA from 1 species
AUUUAUGUGUAAAUUUUUCUGUAAAGUAGUAUUUCCUUUUAGGAGCCUCAAUCUUUGUCACAAUAGGUAUCGCUCAUUAACAGACUAAAAUCGGGCUGUUCUAUUUGUUUGAUUUAAAACUAUAAAUAGCCUUGUGGUUUAUCGGGCACUGCAGUACUAGCACGAUGUGUGAAUACGGCUUAUUUAUACGGUAACCAAUAUUCGUUAUGAGUUCCAGCAAUGUUCCAGCAACCAUUGUUCCAGUAUUCAGUAAUUCAGUAUUCCAGUAAUCAUCAUCAUACCACCCGUGUAACCUUCUUGGUGUAUUCAUAUACUACACUGGAAGCCGGUGGACGGAACCCGUCAUCCUAGGACAUGGCACACAAAGAGGACACAUCAGAGGAACACUGGAGGGACGGUACGGACCAACAAACCACCAUAGGAGGUCGUAGGAUGGAACGAUUCUUAUAAACAAUUAUUUUUUUUAUCAAAUUUUUUUAAUUAUAUGUAUAUUUGUAAAUUUAUUGAUUUUAAUUAUAGAUAAAAAUUGUAAAUACU